GAUGAACGCUGGCGGCGUGCCUAAUACAUGCAAGUCGAGCGGUAAGGUCUCUUCGGAGAUACACGAGCGGCGGACGGCUGAGUAACGCGUAGGAACCUACCCCAAACUGAGGGAUAAGCACCAGAAAUGGUGUCUAAUACCGCAUGUGCUCUUCGGAGUAAAGCUUCGGCGGUUUGGGAAGGGCCUGCGUCCGAUUAGCUUGUUGGUAAGGUAAUGGCUUACCAAGGCGACGAUCGGUAGCUGGUCUGAGAGGAUGAUCAGCCAGACUGG
rnacentral:rRNA from 1 species